rnacentral:rRNA from 1 species
AACUGGCUCAGGAUGAACGCUGGCGUGUGCUAAUACAUGCAAGUCGAACGCGUUGGCCCAAUUGAUUGAUGGUGCUUGCACGUGAUUGAUUUUGGUCGCCAACGAGUGGCGGACGGGUGAGUAACACGUAGGUAACCUGCCCAGAAGCGGGGGACAACAUUUGGAAACAGAUGCUAAUACCGCAUAACAGCGUUGUUCGCAUGAACAACGCUUAAAAGAUGGCUUCUCGCUAUCACUUCUGGAUGGACCUGCGGUGCAUUAGCUUGUUGGUGGGGUAAUGGCCUACCAAGGCGAUGAUGCAUAGCCGAGUUGAGAGACUGAUCGGCCACAAUGGGACUGAGACACGGCCCAUACUCCUACGGGAGGCAGCAGUAGGGAAUCUUCCACAAUGGGCGCAAGCCUGAUGGAGCAACACCGCGUGAGUGAAGAAGGGUUUCGGCUCGUAAAGCUCUGUUGUUAAAGAAGAACACGUAUGAGAGUAACUGUUCAUACGUUGACGGUAUUUAACCAGAAAGUCACGGCUAACUACGUGCCAGCAGCCGCGGUAAUACGUAGGUGGCAAGCGUUAUCCGGAUUUAUUGGGCGUAAAGAGAGUGCAGGCGGUUUUCUAAGUCUGAUGUGAAAGCCUUCGGCUUAACCGGAGAAGUGCAUCGGAAACUGGAUAACUUGAGUGCAGAAGAGGGUAGUGGAACUCCAUGUGUAGCGGUGGAAUGCGUAGAUAUAUGGAAGAACACCAGUGGCGAAGGCGGCUACCUGGUCUGCAACUGACGCUGAGACUCGAAAGCAUGGGUAGCGAACAGGAUUAGAUACCCUGGUAGUCCAUGCCGUAAACGAUGAGUGCUAGGUGUUGGGAGGGUUUCCGCCCUUCAGUGCCGGAGCUAACGCAUUAAGCACUCCGCCUGGGGAGUACGACCGCAAGGUUGAAACUCAAAGGAAUUGACGGGGGCCCGCACAAGCGGUGGAGCAUGUGGUUUAAUUCGAAGCUACGCGAAGAACCUUACCAGGUCUUGACAUCUUGCGCCAACCCUAGAGAUAGGGCGUUUCCUUCGGGAACGCAAUGACAGGUGGUGCAUGGUCGUCGUCAGCUCGUGUCGUGAGAUGUUGGGUUAAGUCCCGCAACGAGCGCAACCCUUGUUACUAGUUGCCAGCAUUAAGUUGGGCACUCUAGUGAGACUGCCGGUGACAAACCGGAGGAAGGUGGGGACGACGUCAGUCAUCAUGCCCCUUAUGACCUGGGCUACACACGUGCUACAAUGGACGGUACAACGAGUCGCGAACUCGCGAGGGCAAGCAAAUCUCUUAAAACCGUUCUCAGUUCGGACUGCAGGCUGCAACUCGCCUGCACGAAGUCGGAAUCGCUAGUAAUCGCGGAUCAGCAUGCCGCGGUGAAUACGUUCCCGGGCCUUGUACACACCGCCCGUCACACCAUGAGAGUUUGUAACACCCAAAGUCGGUGGGGUAACCUUUUA